rnacentral:rRNA from 1 species
UACGUAGGGUGCGAGCGUUGUCCGGAAUUACUGGGCGUAAAGAGCUCGUAGGUGGUUUGUCGCGUUGUUCGUGAAAUCCCACGGCUUAACUGUGGGCGUGCGGGCGAUACGGGCAGACUGGAGUACUGCAGGGGAGACUGGAAUUCCUGGUGUAGCGGUGAAAUGCGCAGAUAUCAGGAGGAACACCGGUGGCGAAGGCGGGUCUCUGGGCAACAACUGACGCUGAGGAGCGAAAGCGUGGGGAGCGAACAGG